rnacentral:tRNA from 1 species
GGGCCCGUGGCCAAGCCUGGAUAGGGCACCAGCCUCCGGAGCUGGUGAUCCCGGGUUCAAAUCCCGGCGGGCCCGCCA